UGGGGAAUAUUGGACAAUGGGCGCAAGCCUGAUCCAGCAAUGCCGCGUGUGUGAAGAAGGCCUUCGGGUUGUAAAGCACUUUUAUCAGGAGCGAAACGCUGUCGGCUAAUACCCGGCGGAACUGACGGUACCUGAGGAAUAAGCACCGGCUAACUUCGUGCCAGCAGCCGCGGUAAUACGAAGGGUGCAAGCGUUAAUCGGAAUUACUGGGCGUAAAGCGUGCGUAGGCGGUUUCUUAAGUCUGCUGUGAAAUCCCCGGGCUCAACCUGGGAAUGGCAGUGGAUACUGGGAGGCUAGAGUGUGUCAGAGGUGGUGGAAUUCCCGGUGUAGCGGUGAAAUGCGUAGAGAUCGGGAGGAACAUCAGUGGCGAAGGCGGCCACCUGGGACAACACUGACGCUGAGGCACGAAAGCGUGGGGAGCAAACAGGAUUAGAUACCCUGGUAGUCCACGCCCUAAACGAUGCGAACUGGAUGUUGGUCUCAACUCGGAGAUCAGUGUCGAAGCUAACGCGUUAAGUUCGCCGCCUGGGGAGUACGGUCGCAAGACUG
rnacentral:rRNA from 1 species